GCUCUAUGUGCAGACCAAUAUCUGAUUGGCUCUCUGCACCCGUCACUCACAGUUAGGCUCAAUGGCCUCCGCCAAAGGGAGGAGCUCGCCGGACGUUGGUGGUGCAGGCCUGUAGUCCACGAACUCGGGUGGUUGAGGCGGGAGGAUCGAGUUCAAGAUCAGCCGGAGUAAGAGAGCGAGACGAUGUCGUCUCAAAAAAGAAGCAAAUAAAAAGGUGGGGCUUCGGUUCUCACCCCGAGAGACCGCCCCGCAAAGAAAUGCUAUGGCAUAAUUAGUGAAAACAUGGCAUGAUUGGCGGAGGCGCAGCCUAUCGCAGGGCGGUGGUGAACUGGUUGCAGACGUUGAACCGCAGUCCAGAGGCCCAGCAGGGGAGAGAGCCUGGUGGUAAGAUGGGCGUCCUUCUGUGUAACUGAACGAGUUAACAAUAAAAUAAAGUUAGUGAAUCCUAUA